rnacentral:rRNA from 1 species
GACGAACGCUGGCGGCGUGCUUAACACAUGCAAGUCGAACGGUGAAGCUCCAGCUUGCUGGAGUGGAUCAGUGGCGAACGGGUGAGUAACACGUGAGCAACCUGCCCCUGACUCUGGAAUAAGCGCUGGAAACGGCGUCUAAUACUGGAUACGAGAAGGGUCCGCAUGGGCACUUUCUGGAAAGUUUUUCGGUUGGGGAUGGGCUCGCGGCCUAUCAGCUUGUUGGUGAGGUAAUGGCUCACCAAGGCGACGACGGGUAGCCGGCCUGAGAGGGCGACCGGCCACACUGGGACUGAGACACGGCCCAGACUCCUACGGGAGGCAGCAGUGGGGAAUAUUGCACAAUGGGCGAAAGCCUGAUGCAGCGACGCCGCGUGAGGGAUGACGGCCUUCGGGUUGUAAACCUCUUUCAGCAGGGAAGAAGCGAAAGUGAAGGUACCUGCAGAAGAAGCACCGGCUAACUACGUG